rnacentral:rRNA from 1 species
AUACGUAGGGAGCGAGCGUUGUCCGGAAUUACUGGGCGUAAAGGGCGCGUAGGCGGCGCUUCAAGUCGUCUGUCAAAUGGGAGGGCUUAACCCUUUUUCGCAGACGAAACUGGAGAGCUUGAGAAGCAGAGAGGCAAACAGAAUUCCUGAUGUAGCGGUGAAAUGCGUAGAUAUCAGGAAGAAUACCAGUGGCGAAGGCGGUUUGCUGGCUGCAUACUGACGCUGAAGCGCGAAAGCCAGGGGAGCAAACGGGAUUAGAUACCCCGGUAGUCCUGGCAGUAAACGAUGUAUGCUGGGUGUGAGACUAGCGAUAGUUUCGUGCCGAAGUUAACGCGAUAAGCAUACCGCCUGGGGAGUACGGUCGCAAGAUUGAAACUUAAAGGAAUUGACGGGG